rnacentral:rRNA from 1 species
AGUGGGGAAUAUUGCACAAUGGGCGGAAGCCUGAUGCAGCGACGCCGCGUGAGGGAUGACGGCCUUCGGGUUGUAAACCUCUUUCAGCAGGGACGAAGCGAAAGUGACGGUACCUGCAGAAGAAGCGCCGGCCAACUACGUGCCAGCAGCCGCGGUAAGACGUAGGGCGCGAGCGUUGUCCGGAUUUAUUGGGCGUAAAGAGCUCGUAGGCGGCUUGUUGCGUCGUCCGUGAAAACCUGGGGCUCAACUCCAGGCUUGCGGUCGAUACGGGCAGGCUAGAGUUCGGUAGGGGAGACUGGAAUUCCUGGUGUAGCGGUGAAAUGCGCAGAUAUCAGGAGGAACACCGGUGGCGAAGGCGGGUCUCUGGGCCGAUACUGACGCUGAGGAGCGAAAGCGUGGGGAGCGAA